ACGCUGGCAGCGUGGAUUAGGCAUGCAAGUCGAACGGGAACCCGUGAGUUUGAUUCUUCGGAAGAUUACAUGCGGGGGAGAGUGGCGAAAGGGUGAGUUACGCGUGAACAAUCUGCCUUUCAGUUCGGGAUAACUUUGCGAAAGCGAGGCUAAUACCGGAUGUGGUUCCCUGGCGCAUGUCGGGGUAAUUAAAGGUGGGGAUCCUUCGGGACCUGCCGCUGAUUGAGGAGUUCGCGUCCUGUCAGCUUGUUGGUGAGGUAAAGGCUCACCAAGGCAACGACGGGUAGCUGGUCUGAGAGGAUGGUCAGCCACACUGGGACUGAGACACUGCCCAGACUCCUACGGGAGGCUGCAGUCGAGAAUCAUUUGCAAUGCGCGAAAGCGUGACAAUGCGACGCUGCGUGGAGGAGGAAGGCCUUCUGGUCGUAAACUCCUGUUAUUGGGGAGCAAGCUUCCCGGCGCUAAUACCGCCGGGGAUUGAUAGUACCCAAGGAGGAAGUCACGGCUAACUCUGUGCCAGCAGCCGCGGUAAUACAGAGGUGGCGAGCGUUGUUCGGAUUUACUGGGCGUAAAACGUGCGUAGGCGGCCGGGUAUGUCGGAUGUGAAAUCUCACCGCUCAACGGUGAAACGGCAUUCGAAACUGCUCGGCUAGAGUGCGGAAGAGGAGAGUGGAAUUCUUGGUGUAGCGGUGAAAUGCGUUGAUAUCAAGAAGAACACCGGUGGCGAAGGCGACUCUCUGGUACGCUACUGACGCUGAGGCACGAAAGCGUGGGGAGCGAACAGGAUUAGAUACCCUGGUAGUCCACGCUGUAAACGGUGUGCACUUGGUAUGGGGGGUGUUGACUCCCCCCGUGCCGGAGCUAACGCAUUAAGUGCACUGCCUGGGGAGUACGGUCGCAAGGUUGAAACUCAAAGAAAUUGACGGGGGCCCGCACAAGCGGAGGAGCAUGUGGCUUAAUUCGAUGCAACGCGAAGAACCUUACCAGGGCUUGACAUGUAACUGCAAAUCCACCGAAAGGUGGACUCUUUCGAAGGUGUUACACAGGUGCUGCAUGGCUGUCGUCAGUUCGUGCCGUGAGGUGUUGGGUUAAGUCCCGCAACGAACGCAACCCCUAUGUCUAGUUGCCACCACCGGUGAUGAGCCGGUGAGCACUCUAGACAGACUGCCCGUACAAGCGGGAGGAAGGCGGGGAUGACGUCAAGUCAGUAUGGCCCUUACGCCCUGGGCUGCACACGUGCUACAAUGGCAGGUACAAUGGGAUGCGAAAUCGCGAGGUGGAGCAAAUCUCCAAAACCUGCCACAGUUCGGAUUGGAGUCUGCAACUCGACUCCAUGAAGUUGGAUUCGCUAGUAAUGGCGCAUCAGCUACGGCGCCGUGAAUACGUUCCCGGGCCUUGUACACACCGCCCGUCACAUCACGAAAGCCAUCUGCACCCGAAGUCGCUGAUCCAACCUGUAUUCUACGGGGGGAAGGCGCCGAAGGUGUGGGUGGUGAUUGGGA
rnacentral:rRNA from 1 species